rnacentral:rRNA from 1 species
AGCAGCCGCGGUAAUUCCAGCUCCAAUAGCGUAUAUUAAAGUUGUUGCAGUUAAAAAGCUCGUAGUUGAAUUUCGGGGUUCUACCGUUGGUCGGGCUUUGUCUGUACUGGCGUGUAGAAUUUCUACCUUCUGGGGAACCAUCAUGUUAUUAAUUUAACGUGGUGGGAAACCAGGACCUUUACCUUGAAAAAAUUAGAGUGUUCAAAGCAGGCUUAUGUCUGAAUACAUUAGCAUGGAAUAAUAGAAUAGGACGGUGGUCCUGUUUUGUUGGUUUCUGAAUCACCGUAAUGAUUAAUAGGGAUAGUUGGGGGCAUUAGUAUUCAAUUGUCAGAGGUGAAAUUCUUGGAUUUGU